GGCCUUUGGGCUGUAAACCUCUUUUCUCAAGGAAGAAGAUCUGACGGUACUUGAGGAAUAAGCCACGGCUAAUUCCGUGCCAGCAGCCGCGGUAAUACGGGAGUGGCAAGCGUUAUCCGGAAUUAUUGGGCGUAAAGCGUCCGCAGGCGGCCGUUUAAGUCCGUUGUUAAAUCGUGGAGCUCAACUCCAUCACGGCAAUGGAAACUGUUCGGCUUGAGUAUGGUAGGGGCAGAGGGAAUUUCCGGUGUAGCGGUGAAAUGCGUAGAUAUCGGGAAGAACACCAGUGGCGAAAGCGCUCUGCUGGGCCAUUACUGACGCUCAUGGACGAAAGCCAGGGGAGCGAAAGGGAUUAGAUACCCCUGUAGUC
rnacentral:rRNA from 1 species